rnacentral:misc_RNA from 1 species
GCACACUAUUUCAUCAAGAGGUUCCCCUACUCCUCUACUGUCGUCGAAGAGAGUACGCCUAUGAAGCAUUAACUCCACUUGUCCAUCUUUAAUGCUGGCUGCUCCAGUGGCUCGAUCGACCAAAACAGAUAAUUCAGUUUUUUUAUCUGUAGUGUAAAUCCCAAGGUUGAGCGGAUAAUAGUUUCCUGCCUGCGGUUCAUUGACAGAAAGAUUCCAGUCUUGUCUAUAGUCUUGAACCCGCUUUAAAAAGUCUCUCCCAUUCGAAUCAGUGUAGAACACCUUAUCCGUAACCAUAUUCGUUGUCAAUCUUGUGAUGAUCUCCUUCCCCACACUAUCAUCCACUGGAAUUGGACCAACAGUGAAUUCAAAUUCAGCAUGCUCUUUGUCUUUGUAAAGUCUAACGACCUGGUAAACCCAUGGACUGAAUUGUUGGUGGACUUCAUCAACCAGCGGUCCACGAAUGAUUUCCACAGGAAUUGAUCUGGAAAGAAUAUUUGGUUCCCCUUGAGGCACAAAAAUAUAUGCACCAGAAUUCUGUUCAUCACUAUAGAAACCUGUAGAUGAAGCAUACCAAAGAUAGCUUUGUUGU